GCAUAAUCAUUUGCUUUUUAAUUAAAGGCUAGAAUGAAUGGAUUAACGAAAUUCUCCCUUUAUUAAAUUUACUUAUUAAAACUUAAACUUCAGGUGAAGAUGCCUGAAUAUAUUUGAAAGACAAGAAGACCCUAUAGAGUUUUAGUGCCACUUUUCUACUAUUCUCUUAGCACUUUAAUUGGGGCGAUUAAGGAUUUCAACCUACAUCCUAACAUUUCAACGACUAUAAAUUUCUUCUAAUAAUAAUCCCUUAUAACGGAAUUUAAAAUCAACUACCUUAGGGAUAACAGGCUUAUCUUCCUAAAGAGUUCAAAUUACCAGGAAGGUUUGGCACCUCGAUGUUGGCUUAGAGUAACCUAAUAAAGCAAAAAUUAUUCUCGGUUAGUUCGUUCAACUAUUAAUCCUCU
rnacentral:rRNA from 1 species